rnacentral:misc_RNA from 1 species
GGAUUUUGCAUGGAGAUGGAGGUCGUCCUGAGAAUAAUAAGUUUCAUUACCUACCAUUGUCAUUGUUAUUCCUAAUUUAGAUUGGUGAGGAAACUUUAUGUACUCAAAAUGCUUAAAAAUAUUCGCCGUUUGGAACUGUUUAUGGUACUUUUUGCUUUUUUGUAUUUCAUUAUUAUGUAAUUGUUAAAUUUUCCCUUGGGCACGGACGGAGCCACGUGGGGUCAAG